GAUCAAAGGCCGCAUCAUAAGUCAUUCCUAUUACAAUUGUUGCAAAAUCCAACGUUCUUAACAACAACGUGUCAACAAGGAACCGUUAUAUUAAGUAGCUUUAAAAAUAUACUAUAAUGUAUGACAACUCUCCUUCUUGAACCAUUGUUAUAAGUUGAUAUCAUUAACAACGAAUUAUGAAUCAGACAACAUUUUAUAUUUAACUGGUGUUAAAGGAAUACAAUUUUAAUAACGGGCCUUUGGUAAACGUUGUUGAAGGGCCUUAGUAUCUUCUACUGUAGUAAAAUUCCAAUAAAUUUUUUCUGCUUAAAAAAUAAUAAUAAAAAAAUAAAAUAAAAUAAAACCAAUAAACCCCCGAAAUUUAUCCCCAAAAAAGCAUCAGCUUCUAGUCCCUCUAUGACUCUAUCCCACUCUCCCACAAAACCCACUCACAAUAGAAUUUGGGUGGCUGUGAAACUCUACUUCUCCGCUUCCACUCUCCAUAAACUUGAUGGAACUGCUACUAUUCCACUCUCAUUGUUUCUGUAAUGGUCAUAUAUAUAAGGGAAAAAAAAUCAAAUCUCACUUUUCUCUUUCCUCGUUCUGGUUUGCAAGACAUCUUUCGGGAGGCUGAGGUUACGAUUUGUAGAGUACAUAUCAGACAACUUAUUUGCGGACUUCGUCAUAAUGGAUCGAAAAUGGAUGUCAAAAGAUCGUACCGGAGGAGAAUAUGAGAAAGGAAUGGAGGAGUUCAUUACUUUUGCGAUUAAACAUUCUAAACAUUACGUAGCGUUGUAGAGACGGCAUUACUUAUAUAUCAAAAUCAAGUUGUAGGAAGUAAGAAGGUGAAGAAAAGUACAACUUGGUCCAAAAUUCAGUGUCCUCGUCAGACUAAUGGUGUAGAUUUUGGUUACUAUGUCCUAAGGUUCAUGCGAGAUAUCAUUGCUCAUAACCAACCACAAAUUCCGGAAAUGUACUUUUCAGAUUGUUUAUGGCCCAAUUAUAGCACAGAGCAAAUUGAUGAAGUGAAAACUGAGUUGGCACGCCACAUUCUCUACUUUGCUAGUUGAUUUAGGAAGUUAAAACUAAUUGGUGGACAAAUCAUUAUGUUUAGAUUUCUUAUUAGUUUAAUGUUUCUCAAAUUGUUAAAGUUAAUAUUAUGAAUGCUUCGUAUUUUUUUUUCUAUUACAAUGGACACCGUGAAACUUAGUAGUUUUUAUUUUAUAUACAUACAAUCCAUUUGUUUGUGUAAAUUUAGUUGUGUUUGUAUAGA